rnacentral:rRNA from 1 species
CAAAAACAUGUCUUUUUGAUUAUAAUUUAAAGUCUUGCCUGCCCAAUGAUUAUUUUAAUGGCCGCAGUAUUUUGACUGUGCAAAGGUAGCAUAAUCAUUAGUUUUUUAAUUGAAAGCUGGAAUGAAUGGUUUGAUGAGAAAUAAACUGUCUCUUUAUAAAUUUUUUAUAAUUUUAAUUUUAAGUGAAAAAGCUUAAAUUUUAUAUAAAGACGAGAAGACCCUAUAGAGUUUAAUAAUAAAUUUAUUUAAUUGAUUUUAGGUUUAUUUUCGUAUAAUUAAAUUUAUUAUUUUGUUGGGGUGAUAUAAAAAUUAAAUAAACUUUUUAUUUAUUUUAACAUUUAUUUAUGAAUAUUUGAUCCUUAUUUUUGGAUUAUAAGAUAAAAUUACCUUAGGGAUAACAGCGUAAUUUUUUUAAAGAGUUCUUAUCAAUAAAAAAGUUUGCGACCUCGAUGUUGGAUUAAAAUUUAUUUCUGGUGCAGAAGCUGGAAUAUUAGGUCUGUUCGACCUUUAAAAUUUUACAUGAUCU